CGGAUAGAAUUUUAGCCUCCCUUCCACAUGCAGUCUGGGUUAAAAAUCCACCGACUGCAGCUCUAGAUAUUUUCUCACUCUCGCUCUCUUCCCUCGCGAAUUUAACCUGAGAAAGAGAGAAACUUGGACAUGCUUCUCUGCUCAGCUUAAUUUGGGGUUAAAUUCGUGCUUACCCAGUUGGUAAAUAGAUUGGUUUGACGGUGAAGCUACGAAACUCCAUAAACCAAUACCAAUUGAUCCUCCUGACCGAUCUCCAUCUCCCACUGCUCUCUUAAUUUUCAGGUUCAUCAGACUUCACAACAAUCAGGCACAACUCGCUGGACGGUUCGUCAGCCUGAAACAAUGGCAACUCUGGCUGAUACGUUUCUUGCUGACUGUGAUUAGCUAUCUGACAAUGAAGCUGAUAUUCCUGAAGGACGCCGUGCACAUUUCAUCGAAAGAGACUUGACUGAGCUGGUGAGAUGUUGCAGCUGGGGGUUAUCAAUAAAUUGAUUGAGUUGGGUCUUGAGG